GCAUCAAUGGGGUAGUGGUAACCUGGGUCGUUGCCAUGAGUGAGGUCGCAAGAUGUGGUCUCGACCCGCCGGGGGUUCGAUUCCCUCUUGAUGCA